CUUAGCCCAUCAAUUUAAAAAUUCAAAAUGCACACUCAACGGUCACAUUUUCCUAGGAUCAUCCUAUUUAAUGCCCUUCUACUUGUCAACUCCAUCGAAAUCCUUCAUUUCUUGUGGCACCGUCUAAAAUUUGCUUCGAUUGAAGAAAUUUUGACGCCCAUGACAGCGUUGAAAUUUCUUCAAUGCAAACAAAUUUUUUAUCUUCCUUUCAUCGAGGAUUUUCAUACCAUGUGAAGGAGAGAUCAGUUCCAUCAGUUCCAAGUCGUUCGGGUGUUUGGUUAGUUAGGCCUAAGAAGUAAGGGCUAGUGAAAGAGAAGCAUUUGAUUGUCCUACAAGUAUCUGAAUCGCCAAUGAAAGCAGAGGUUAUUUCCUCUGAAUUUCCACGAAUUGUUCAGGUUUGGAUUCUGUGAUUGUGUUGUUCUGUUGUUCUCUUUUUUAUUUUGGAGUGUUCUAGGAAAUUUUGAGGUUUGUUAUUUUUUAGUUUUUUUGGCUUGCCUUUAAUCACGCUCGUUUGGGAAUAGACAGGCUUCAGAGAAUGAAUCUCCUUUUUAAGGGUUCGUUGGGGAGCGAAGUGACCAUAUGGCAUCCCUUUCUGCACCUGCUCAGUCUCUCUCUUGCCUUUUUCAUACUACAUAUUUUUGUUUCUCAAUUUAGUGUCAGUGUCAACCAUGUCUAUGCUUUGGCCAUUCUCAUUUCCACUUUCCACUACUCUAAAAAUGUAUCUGCAAUUGAUCAGGUAAAAGUGUUUCAAUUCUCUGUCUUUGGUUCAUCUCCGUUAGUUAGUCUUAAGAGUAAGGGAGAUAAUUCGUUUUUCUUGUUUCCCUCCAUGUAUUGAUUUUUAGUUUUUUAGGGAUGCUUGGUUGGUUUGAAUGCACGAAACAUUUGCUGGUACACGAUUCAAA